rnacentral:rRNA from 1 species
GACGUAGGGCGCGAGCGUUGUCCGGAUUUAUUGGGCGUAAAGAGCUCGUAGGUGGUUUGUCGCGUUGUUCGUGAAAACUCACAGCUUAACUGUGGGCGUGCGGGCGAUACGGGCAGACUGGAGUACUGCAGGGGAGACUGGAAUUCCUGGUGUAGCGGUGGAAUGCGCAGAUAUCAGGAGGAACACCGGUGGCGAAGGCGG